rnacentral:lncRNA from 1 species
AUGCAGCCAAAGUCAAGGAAUCCAUUUCUUUGGGCUCUUUUCCUUGGUGAAUUUAGAGCUGAGUGGAGGUUAAAAAUAUAAGAAAGUUAGGCUGGGCGCGGUGGAUUACUUGAGGUCAGGAGUUUGAGACCAGCCUGGCUAACAUGGUGAAACCCUGUUUCUACCAAAAAUACAAAAAUUUGAUCAUGCCACUGCACUCCAGUCUGGGGCACAGAGCGAGACUCCCAUCUCAAAAAAAAAAAAAAUUAGCUGGGCAUAGUGAUGCGCGCCAGCUACUUGGGAGGCUGAGGUGGGAGAAUCACUUGAACCUGGGAGGCAGAGGUUGCAGUGAGCUGAGAUCGUGCCACUUCACUCCAGCCUGGGUGACAGAGUGAGACCCUAUCUCAAAAAAAAAUAAAACAAAAAAUAUAUAUGAAAGUUAAUAAAUCAGUGAAGUUAGCCAGUAGGAAAUGAUAAUAUAUAAGGGAACAAGUAAGAGGGACUAUGGGAAGUGAUAUUUUUUCCAGUAAUAAAAGGCAUGGUUUGAUUUUUUUUUUUUGACAUGGAGUUUGCUCUUGUUGCCCAGGCUAGAGUGCGGUGGCAUGAUCUCGGCUUACUGCAACUUCCACCUCUCCAGUUCAAGCGAUUCUCCUGCCUCAGCCUCCCGAGUAGCUGGGAUUACAGGCAUGUGCCACCAUGCCCAGCUAAUUUUCAAUUUUUAGUAGAGACGGGGUUUCUCCAUGUUUGUCAGGCUGGUCUCAAACUCCCAACUUCAGGUGAUCUGCCCGCCUCGGUCUCCCAAAGUGCUGGGAUUACAGGUUUGAGCCACCAUGCCUGGUCGAAAAACGGUUAUUUCUUAACCCAUAUUCUCAGAAUGUUAUUACUCUUUGCAGGACCCACAGUUAGUUUUUCCUUCAAAAUUUGAGGUCUUAGAUCAUUGUUACUGGCCAAGGAGGCUUACUAAAAAUACAAAAAUAAGCCAGGUGUGGUGGUGGGCACCUAAUCCCAGCUACUCGGGAGGCUGAGGCAAGAGAAUUGCUUGAACCCAGGAGGCAGAGGUUGCAGUGAGCCAAGAUCACGCCACUGGACUCCAGCCUGGGUGACAGAGCAAGACUCUGGUCCUUUUUUUCAUCCUUUUCCUAGUCAAGAUUUCAACUUUUUGCUAAAUGUUUAGGUGCUAGACAUGCUGUAUUUUUAAUUAGCAUUUCUGACUUGGCCUUCUUACCGUAGAGAGUCCCAGGGGUCUAACAGGAGGGCUGAAUUAAGGGAAAAUAAAAGAAGGUGGGGGGCUGGGCGCAUUGGCUCUCACCUGUAAUCCCAACACUUUGGGAGGCUGAGGCGGGUGGAUCACCUGAGGUCAGGAGUUCGAGACCAGCUUGGCCAACACGAUGAAAACCUAUCUUCACUAAAAUACAAAAAUUAACUGGGUGUGGUGGUGUGUGCUUGUAAUCCCAGUUACACCUACUCGGGAGACUGAGGCAGAAGAAUUGCUUGAAGCUGGCAGGUGGAGGUUGCAGUGAGCCAAGAUUGUGGCACUGGACUCCAGCCUCGGCCACACAGCAAGACUCUGUCUCAAAAAAAAAACAAAAAGCGGGGGGUGCGGGGGAGGGGGGAGUUUAUUCCCAGAGCUAGUAUAGUGUGUAUCACAGAGGUGAUUAUAGUAGUGGCAUUGGAUGAGUCAACAGUAGUAGCAUUUCCCUUUUUCUGAACUCGGGUAACUAGUGCCAGAGUUCAGAAGAGACGUUAAAAAUAUUGGUGUGCUAAACUGAAUUAGACCUACAAAUAUGCUAGAUGAUCAUUAAAGCCAUGCACAGGGCAAUGAAUCUGUGAAUUUCUUGUUGGUGUUUUUUUUUU